rnacentral:rRNA from 1 species
GAUGAACGCUGGCGGCGUGCCUAAUACAUGCAAGUCGAGCGAACGGACGAGAAGCUUGCUUUUCUGAUGUUAGCGGCGGACGGGUGAGUAACACGUGGAUAACCUACCUAUAAGACUGGGAUAACUUCGGGAAACCGGAGCUAAUACCGGAUAAUAUUUUGAACCGCAUGGUUCAAAAGUGAAAGACGGUCUUGCUGUCACUUAUAGAUGGAUCCGCGCUGCAUUAGCUAGUUGGUAAGGUAACGGCUUACCAAGGCAACGAUGCAUAGCCGACCUGAGAGGGUGAUCGGCCACACUGGGACUGAGACACGGUCCAGACUCCUACGGGAGGCGGCAGUAGGGAAUCUUCCGCAAUGGGCGAAAGCCUGACGGAGCAACGCCGCGUGAGUGAUGAAGGUCUUCGGAUCGUAAAACUCUGUUAUUAGGGAAGAACAUAUGUGUAAGUAACUGUGCACAUCUUGACGGUACCUAAUCAGAAAGCCACGGCUAACUACGUG